rnacentral:piRNA from 1 species
UGGCUCACUGCAACCUCCUCUUCCCAAGC